UGAAAUUCUCAUACCAUUUCAACAAAACUCAUAUCGCAUACAGUUAGACAUUAAAGGGACACUCUAAAGCAAUUCCUCCCAUCCAGCAUUAGAAUUGCAUUCAAACCAAUGACACACUAUUGCCUUGAGUUUUUUGAACAUAUAUUACAACAAUGGUAACUGCCGUAAAUCAAACAAGUUAGAAUUUCUCAUCAGAUACUUUUGAGUGUUCACUCAGGGGAAGAGAGUCGUGAUUUCAAUAAGAAAACUAACCCUUCCUGAGCCAUCAUGGUGAAGAGUUUUUCUGUCCGAACGAUCAUAGGAGUUAUGUCGUCUGGGUCAUUAAGCCCCUGGUAGGGUCAACCAUGGCAAACAGGUGCUACGUGAGGGAUCAGAAAAAGGAUGGAUGAUAGAACCCUUAUGAUAAUAAAUAUUAAAGGACCAAGGUUUCCCUUUCCCGGAUGCAGGUUACCCCCUGAUUUGAGUCAAGCAUGGAGGUGGGAUUUGAAGGCAAGCACAUGGCCAGGCCUGUACCCAUGGGUUCCAGCCGAGCACAGCCCAAACAGGCGACGUGGGUCCCCCUUAUACAACUGAGGGAGGGACCAGGGGGUCGGGUGCGCAGUGACCAGGUGGCGGCUGAAGGCAGGGACCUUGGUAGUCUGAUCUGAUUACCCUGGUGUAUGAGAGGGUAGCCUCCCUCCAUCUUUGGGUGUGAGGAUGAGUCCUGACUGUUGUUUGUGCCUAUGCACCAAACAGCAAAUCAGAGUCCCCACCCUUUCUGGAGCUCUUGGAGAGGGUGCUGGACAUUGCUCGCUGUGGACCUCCACUGGAGUGGGCAGGAUCCUUUUGGACCCUCCACAUCAUGGCCACCAACUCUUCCAGCUCCUUCCGUUGGCUCCAAAAACCUCCAGAAAACCCUUAAAUGGAGGAUUCGGAAAGUGAUGCCAGUCCUGUAAUUGCCCUGCAAGACCAUUAAAGCAGUGGAACAGGUGGUUCACCGUCAACAUGAAGAACCCUGAGACAUUGAAAACCAAGACAUCUAUCAUCAACUUCGAGCGAUCCACCACCAACCAUGAGUCUCACCCAUUCCUCCAAAGAGAGUUGGGCCAUGGUUCCAAAAACAAGUGCUAAUGCUGCUUACUGAGAUAAGCACCGUCAGGCAUCAAGAUCAUAGGGCAGCAGCACAAGAAGAGGACAUCAACAUUGUACAGAAAAAAUAUCCGGCCGACUUCAUUGUCCUUGAACAGAAGGUGACUGAGGACCCUUCUGCUUCUGCAGAACUGAAAUUUCAAAUGUUGAAAGUUGGAGGAGUAACCCUCAAGGAAAAUAUUAAACGGAGAAGAGGGGUUGGGCACGAUGCAGUGGAAAGGCGUGAGGUCGCCUGUGUUGCCCGUGGUGAUUCAGAAGGAGUGGAGCUCAAAGAGGCAGAAUCUCGAGGAAGCACCUGAACACCUCGAGAA